rnacentral:rRNA from 1 species
UGGGGAAUCUUGCGCAAUGGGGGCAACCCUGAUGCAGCGACGCCGCGUGAGCGAUGAAGCCCUUCGGGGCGUAAAGCUCUUUCGACCGGAACGAUAAUGACGGUACCGGGAGAAGAAGCUGCGGCUAACUACGUGCCAGCAGCCGCGGUAAUACGUAGGCAGCAAGCGUUGUUCGGAGUUACUGGGCGUAAAGAGUGCGUAGGCGGUUUUCUAAGUUCGGUGUGAAAUCUCCCGGCUUAACUGGGAGGGUGCGCCGAAGACUGGGAAGCUGGAGUGUGGGAAAGGCAGGCGGAAUUCCUGGUGUAGCGGUGAAAUGCGUAGAUAUCAGGAGGAACACCGGCGGUGUAGACGGCUUGCUAGACCAUAACUGACGCUGAGGCACGAAAGCGUGGGUAGCAAACA